GCCCAAGACCUUUAAUAUAUUAUAUUCAAUUGCAGUAAUGAAUAACUUUGUAGAACUGGAUAACUUCCAGAACUGCUCUGGCAUUGAGAUUUUUUGUUUUCUUAGAAAAAAAAAAAAAAACCCAUUGAAUUGAAACCCCAUUUGGGUUGCUUUGUAGUGAAAUGUGUGAAGAGGGGAAGAAUAGUUCAGUCGCGAAUUCUUAGAAUUUCAUGAUUUCACUAAUCUUCUGCAGGGUAUUUUAGGUUAGCACAGAAGGGAGUCUGUGUCCCAUAUACACUUGUGGUUAUCCCACCCAAUUUUCUGCCGUGUGCAAAAUGACCGGCAGGAGGUGCUGUUGUAUAGCAGCAGCUCUCCAUGCAAUUCAUGUGAAAUAGACUGAACGUUCUGGUUUAGUAAUUUGAAUAGGGGUGGUAAAUAAUCUCCCAUAAUUGAUUAUCUCUUUUCCAUUUCCGGGAUUAAAAUGAAGACCAAAUGGAAAUAAGCAAGGGAAUACUUUCUGCUUGAAGGGAAUUGUCUACAUUAUACCAGGUUACUAGCAAAGCCACACACGACUUUGGACUCAUUUUAAUAUUGCAGAAAUAUGUUCCCAUAUUGUUUACCUUACAAUAUCCAUAAAAAA